AACUCUAAGUGGUGGAUCACUCGGCUCGGGGGUCGAUGAAGAACGCAGCGAAAUGCG
rnacentral:rRNA from 1 species